rnacentral:rRNA from 1 species
UUACACCUGAAAGAUAUCUGCUCGACCCAGAUCGUCUUGAUGCCAACUCUAGCCCAACCGACAUUGACCUGGAAUAACAAAGCUACUCCCCACCCUAAACUAAAGCAUUUACUAGUCCCAGUAUAGGCGAUAGAAAAGACACCAUUGGCGCGAUAGAGACCACGUACCGUAAGGRAAAGAUGAAAUAAUAAUGAAAUAACCUAAGCUAAAAACAGCAAAGAUCAACCCUUGUACCUUUUGCAUAAUGGUCUAGCAAGAAAAACCAAGCAAAAUGAAUUUAAGUUUGCCAUCCCGAAACCCAAGCGAGCUACUUGUGAGCAGCUAACAUUGAGCGAACCCGUCUCUGUUGCAAAAGAGUGGGACGACUUACUAGUAGAGGUGAAAAGCCAAUCGAGCUGGGUGAUAGCUGGUUGCCUGUGAAACGAAUCUUAGUUCACUCUUAAUUCUUCUCCAAGGAAACCCACAAACCCUAAUGAAGCGAAUUAAGGGCUAUUUAAAGGAGGUACAGCUCCUUUAAAAAAGAAUACAAUCUCCACGAGCGGAUAAGUACCCCCCC